AGAGUUUGAUCAUGGCUCAGAUUGAACGCUGGCGGCAGGCCUAACACAUGCAAGUCGAACGGUAACAGGAAGAAGCUUGCUUCUUUGCUGACGAGUGGCGGACGGGUGAGUAAUGUCUGGGAAACUGCCUGAUGGAGGGGGAUAACUACUGGAAACGGUAGCUAAUACCGCAUAACGUCGCAAGACCAAAGAGGGGGACCUUCGGGCCUCUUGCCAUCGGAUGUGCCCAGAUGGGAUUAGCUAGUAGGUGGGGUAACGGCUCACCUAGGCGACGAUCCCUAGCUGGUCUGAGAGGAUGACCAGCCACACUGGAACUGAGACACGGUCCAGACUCCUACGGGAGGCAGCAGUGGGGAAUAUUGCACAAUGGGCGCAAGCCUGAUGCAGCCAUGCCGCGUGUAUGAAGAAGGCCUUCGGGUUGUAAAGUACUUUCAGCGGGGAGGAAGGGAGUAAAGUUAAUACCUUUGCUCAUUGACGUUACCCGCAGAAGAAGCACCGGCUAACUCCGUGCCAGCAGCCGCGGUAAUACGGAGGGUGCAAGCGUUAAUCGGAAUUACUGGGCGUAAAGCGCACGCAGGCGGUUUGUUAAGUCAGAUGUGAAAUCCCCGGGCUCAACCUGGGAACUGCAUCUGAUACUGGCAAGCUUGAGUCUCGUAGAGGGGGGUAGAAUUCCAGGUGUAGCGGUGAAAUGCGUAGAGAUCUGGAGGAAUACCGGUGGCGAAGGCGGCCCCCUGGACGAAGACUGACGCUCAGGUGCGAAAGCGUGGGGAGCAAACAGGAUUAGAUACCCUGGUAGUCCACGCCGUAAACGAUGUCGACUUGGAGGUUGUGCCCUUGAGGCGUGGCUUCCGGAGCUAACGCGUUAAGUCGACCGCCUGGGGAGUACGGCCGCAAGGUUAAAACUCAAAUGAAUUGACGGGGGCCCGCACAAGCGGUGGAGCAUGUGGUUUAAUUCGAUGCAACGCGAAGAACCUUACCUGGUCUUGACAUCCACGGAAGUUUUCAGAGAUGAGAAUGUGCCUUCGGGAACCGUGAGACAGGUGCUGCAUGGCUGUCGUCAGCUCGUGUUGUGAAAUGUUGGGUUAAGUCCCGCAACGAGCGCAACCCUUAUCCUUUGUUGCCAGCGGUCCGGCCGGGAACUCAAAGGAGACUGCCAGUGAUAAACUGGAGGAAGGUGGGGAUGACGUCAAGUCAUCAUGCCCCUUACGACCAGGGCUACACACGUGCUACAAUGGCGCAUACAAAGAGAAGCGACCUCGCGAGAGCAAGCGGACCUCAUAAAGUGCGUCGUAGUCCGGAUUGGAGUCUGCAACUCGACUCCAUGAAGUCGGAAUCGCUAGUAAUCGUGGAUCAGAAUGCCACGGUGAAUACGUUCCCGGGCCUUGUACACACCGCCCGUCACACCAUGGGAGUGGGUUGCAAAAGAAGUAGGUAGCUUAACCUUCGGGAGGGCGCUUACCACUUUGUGAUUCAUGACUGGGGUGAAGUCGAAACAAGGUAACCGUAGGGGAACCUGCGGUUG
rnacentral:rRNA from 1 species